UACGUAGGGUGCGAGCGUUGUCCGGAAUUAUUGGGCGUAAAGGGCUCGUAGGCGGUCCAUCGCGUCGGGAGUGAAAAGCUGGGGCUUAACCCCAGUCCUGCUUUCGAUACGGGUGGACUAGAGGUAGGCAGGGGAGAAUGGAAUUCCUGGUGUAGCGGUGAAAUGCGUAGAUAUCAGGAGGAACACCGAUGGCGAAGGCAGGUCUCUGGGCUGAAACUGACGCUCAUGCACGAAAGCGUGGGGAGCAAACAGG
rnacentral:rRNA from 1 species